rnacentral:tRNA from 1 species
GGGGUUGUGGUCUAGUGGUAUGACAUCUUCUUAGCAUUGCUGUUCACAGCAUUACUGAGUGGAGAAGGUUCUGGGUUCGAUUCCCAGCUACUCCA